GGGAAUUUUGCGCAAUGCUCGUAAGAGUGACGCAGCGACGCCGCGUGAAUGACGAAGGCCUUCGGGUCGUAAAGUUCUUUCGCCAGGGAAGAAAAUGCCUAUAAGUAACUGUGUAUGUAUUGACGGUACCUGUAUAAGCAGCCCCGGCUAACUCCGUGCCAGCAGCCGCUGUAAUACGGAGGGGGCGAGCGUUGUUCGGAGUGACUGGGCGUAAAGAGCACGUAGGCGGUGUUGUAAGUCAUUAGUCAAAGACUAGAGCUCAACUUUAGUAAGGCUAGUGAUACUAUAAUACUAGAGUAUCAGAGAGGAUUGCAGAAUUCCUGGUGUAGCGGUGAAAUGCGUAGAUAUCAGGAGGAAUACCGUUAGCGAAGGCGGCAAUCUGGCUGGAAACUGACGCUGAGGUGCGAAAGCGUGGGUAGCAAACAGG
rnacentral:rRNA from 1 species